rnacentral:lncRNA from 1 species
CAAAAAGAAAAAAUUCCAUUGAGUCAAUAGAUAGCAGAGAUUCCAUUAGUGAUAGUGAAAGUUGUCCUACUCAAUGACCCUCCUCUCUCAUCUGCCACAUACCCUGAAGGUUUUCAAAGGUAUGACUGGCAGGGUGGAAAAUACUGGAUGAGGGACAAAGCUUCAAGGAAAGACUUCAGAGGAAAUUUGAUACCUUUGAAACCACAGGUGUGAAGGCUGAUGUAAUUCUGGAAGAAAAUGUCCGCAUUCUCUGGGCCAAAUUCACCCUAAGGAGGUCUGGGUCCUUGGGGACAACUUUGGAAAUUAUAGAAUUCCCAACAUCUUUGGAACUAAUAUGAAGUCUCUGGAAUUGUGUGGCCCAAGAUUGGCCAGAAUUAUGUGUGUUGUUUCAAUAAAAUUAUUAUGUCUCUUUUGUUCUCCAAAGUGUAAAAGUUUGAAUGUUAAAUAAUGUAAUUUUCAUCAUCACAAAGUACUUUGGAAGACUCUAAGCUUCCAACUGUAAGUCACUAAUCAAA